rnacentral:lncRNA from 1 species
UGACACGCGGUGACACACGAUGACGCGCAAUGACACGCAAUAACACGUGAUGACACGCGGUGACACGCGAUGACACACGAUGACAUGUGAUGACACGCAAUAACACGUGAUGACACGCGUGUGCUGCCGCGUGGCCUCGCAGGUGAGAUCAAGAACGGCCGCGUGUCGGGCUGCCACUCGUGGGUGCAGCUGCUGCAGCUGGAGCGCAGCGGGAGCCUGGAUUACCUGAGCUACAGCUACAGUGGGCCGGUGAGCGCGGGGGGGUCACUGCGAUGUUGUGUGGUUGUUGUGUUGUGUGGUUGUGUGGUUGUGUGGUUGUGUGGUUGUGUCACUGCGAUGUGAUGUGGUUGUGUUGUUGUGUUGUUGUGUCACUGCGAUGUGGUGUGGUUGUGUGGUUGUGUGGUUGUGUUGUUGUGUCACUGCGACAUGGUGUGGUUGUGUGGUUGUGUGGUUGUGUGGUUGUGUUGUUGUGUGGUUGUGUGGUUGUGUUGUUGUGUGGUUGUGUUGUUGUGUUGUUGUUGUCAUUGUGUCACUGUGUCACUGUUGUGUCGUUGUGUUGUUGUGUCACUGUGUCCUUGUGUCAUCGUGUUGCUGUGUCACCCUGUUGUUGUGUCGUUGUGUCCCUGUGUCGCUGUCACCCCGUGGUUGUUGUUGUGUGGUUGUGUAGUUGUGUGGCUGUGUGGCUGUGUGGUU